rnacentral:lncRNA from 1 species
UGCUAAAUUCUUCGUUCGAGCACUCCAUUCUUGUUGAGGCAGAAAACUGACUUGAGCGUCGGAGGGUCUUGCCGGAGCAACCCCACCUCCGGUUUAGACUUCCCUUGCAGGUCCCGGCGGCGACCGCGGCUUCCCCGACUCCAGCUUCUCCGGCGCAAGCGGAUUUUUGCACCAACAGGAUUGGCGCUAGAGGAAGGGUGUGUGUCUUCGCAGCACCCUUGUUCUUGAAGGAGCGCUCAACGGACCC